UACGUAGGGUGCAAGCGUUGUCCGGAAUUAUUGGGCGUAAAGAGCUCGUAGGCGGUUUGUCGCGUCGGCUGUGAAAAACUCGGGGGCUCAACCCCCGAGCCUGCAGUCGAUACGGGCAGACUAGAGUGCUGUAGGGGAGACUGGAAUUCCUGGUGUAGCGGUGAAAUGCGUAGAGAUCGGGAGGAACACCUGUGGCGAAGGCGGCCCCCCUGGGCCGGCCCCUGACACUGAGACGCGAAGGCGUGGGGAGCGAACGGG
rnacentral:rRNA from 1 species